UACGUAGGUGGCAAGCGUUGUCCGGAAUUACUGGGUGUAAAGGGAGCGCAGGCGGGAAGCCAAGUCAGCUGUGAAAACUACGGGCUUAACUUGUAGACUGCAGUUGAAACUGGUUUUCUUGAGUGAAGUAGAGGUUGGCGGAAUUCCGAGUGUAGCGGUGAAAUGCGUAGAUAUUAGGAGGAACACCAGUGGCGAAGGCGGUCUGCUGGACAGCGACUGACGCUGAGGCGCGAAAGCGUGGGGAGCAAACAGG
rnacentral:rRNA from 1 species